UGCAUGCCCCCACAUUCAGGUUAAUUUUUCUACUUAAUCGUUUACUUAACCUGUUACCGUCAUGAAUUAUCUACAUAGAGAAUAUACAUUUAAUUUUCUUCUACCUCUUGAAUGUUUCCAGAUUUGCUCAUAGAAAAUUUUUAAAUCAGUGUCUACAUGUGAUUAAUUCAUCUCAUUUAUAAGUUUGUUCAAGGACAUAUGUUAUAUUUUUUCAUUUCUCCAGCAGUUAUUCUCAAAAGAAAAAUGUUUUCUUGGUAUAGCCAAGAGUUUGGUCAUGUAUCCUAUUUGUAAUAUUUUAUUUUUAGCAUAUCAGUUUAAUAUACUAAUAUUGACAACAAGAAUGCUCGCGAUGAUUUAAAUUUCAUAGAGUAAGUUCCACUAAUUCAGAUUAUAACUUGUUGUUUUCUAAAGCCUGCUCCUAUACAAUUCUAAUUUGGAAAUAAAAUGGGAGUCAUGCAUGGGUGGUUUUGGGAUUCAACUAAGGAUUUGUCAAGGCUUUCUGGUUUUGGUGUCACAUUAUCAAGUCCAUCCAACGAUCUACCUUUCAAACAAGAAGAGCAUUCACCAGGGGAGCUAUUAUUGUAUCUAUGUUCAAACCUGGAGUCGCCAGAGGUAAUAGGUUUGAUUUUCAAGUAUAAUUAAUAUACAUAGAACAUAAAUCUGUAGAAAAAGGAUAUCAUUUAUGGACCUGUAUCUUGUAUUUAGUCAAUCCUCACCAUAGUCUUUGACCUACCAUUCGUUAAAGGAUGUACAUGCAUGCAUAUAUAUACACUGAGUAUAAACAUAGGGAAUUCGCACUAAUAAAAUUGCUUCCCUCUAGAGUGGUGGAAAAUAAGCUCAUGUGCUAGAGAAAGCCGUCAAGUUAUGAUCUAGGGCUUGAGAAGGUAGUCAUUUCGUAUAUAUUAUCUUACCAGCAAUGCAGUCAUGUUUGUUAUUGUAGUAAAUAAUCAUUUUGAUAAAUAGCUUUUUUAUUGGCUUUAGUUAUCUAUGCUAUCUUCAAUUCAAGAGGAAGUUCUCUAUAGCAGUACAACUUUUGAAAUUUUGCAUCAUAAGCCACAACAUGAAAUGAAUUGCCAUAUUAACUUAAUUUAACAUGAAGAGUAUUUGGCUCCACAUAUUUCUAUCAAUUGAAAGUUGAAUAAAACUGUUGCUUAUUGAUUGAUUUGGUGCGACAUACAAGAGUAUAUAAGAGGGUACAAACUGACUUGGGGUAGGGGUACAAAACUGACUUGGACUAGAAGUCGUAUACCAUAAGGACUACUCUAACAUCCCCCCGCAGUAUCAACGGCAGGCUCGACGACGUUGAGACUGAAACAGAUAUCUUGAAACGACUUAGUAGGCAGUGCCUUGGUGAAAAUGUCAGCAAACUGAGCCGUAGAGGGAACAUGAAGCACCCGAACCUGACCAAGAGCAACCUUUUCACGAACAAUAUCAAUAUCAAUCUCAAUAUGCUUUGUGCGUCGGUGUUGACCUGGAUUGCCGGUCAUGUAGACUACUGAUAUGUUGUCACAGUAGACAAUAGUGACCUGCUUAAUAGGCCUGUGUAGCUCGGAGAGUAAUUGCCGAAUACAUAUUGUAUCUGCAACGGCAUGUGCCACAGCGCGAUACUCAGCCUCGGCCGACGAACGUGAGACUGUAACCUGUCUUUUCGAAGACCAAGAAAUCAAAUUGUUACCAAGAAAAACACAAAAACCGGAAGUGGACCUUCGAGUGUCAGGACAACCAGCCCAGUCUGCAUCAGAGUAUGCGGUAAGCGAGUUUGGAGAAGAAUUAUUGAGGUGGAGACCAUGAUUGACAGUUCCUUUUAGAUACCAAAGAAUGCGUUUAACAUGAUUAUAGUGAGGAACCCGGGGAUCAUGCAUAUAGAGCGUCGGAGGUGAGGGUGGCGUUGGGAGCAGUGCCGGCGGAUAUGAUGGUGAAGGCAGUAGGGCCGGUUGGGGAGUGUAGUAGGUGCCGCCGUCAGUGGAGUAGUGACCAGAAGGAGCAUACGUCGGGACGACGUGAGAGGCAUUGGCCGGCUGUGGUGAGGGUGGUGUCGGGAGCAGGGCCGGCUGAGGUGUGUAGUAGGCGCCGCUGUCGGUGGUGCAAUGACCAUAAAGAGCAUACGUCGGGGCGGCGUGAUAGGCAUUGGCCGGUUGUCGGGGGUUGAGAACCCCGGGAGCACCAGUAGGCGGUGUCGUGGUUCUAAGUCUGACAGUAGUGUAUGGGGGUAAGUAUGGAGAGGCAAGAUCUUAGCUAUGGAGAAGUUGUAAGCACGCAAGGUUUACGAGUUCAGGCCCUUCUCGGAGGAAGUAAUAGCCCUACGUCUCGGAGCCCAGAGGCGGUCGAUUGGAUUAUGCGUGUAUGAAUUACAGGGGUGCGAACCCUUGUCUCGGAGGAGGGGGGUUGCUUAUAUAGAGUGCGCCAGGACCCCAGCUAGCCCACGUUACAAAGGGUUCAAUGUACAUUAAGGCAGGGCGUUACUGGUAACACUAGUAAUAAAGUGCUAUGAUGACCAUAAAAGCUACUUAAUAACCGACCGUUAGCAUGCGGAGUGCCUUUAGGUCUCCUGACUGUUGAGUGGCUUGGUUUUGGUCGAGUGGUUGCUUCUUGGUCGAGUAUCUUUGAGUCUGUCGAGUGGAACACCUCCAAGUCGAUUGAAAGAUGAUUUCUUCUGGAGAUGUCCUUGGGUAGGUCAGUUUGGACAGGUCCAUGCCCCUACCCUAGGUACAUAGCUUCAUCAUUAGCCCCCGAAUGGAUCGAGGUUUGCGUGGGAAAGGCAUUGAGCACUUCUCCGACUCAUUUUUCAUGCCAUGAGCAUUUCUUGUUUCGGAUCAAUGAACCUGAGUGAUGGCAGCGACUUCCUUUCUAGUCGCCUUGAUCCAUUCUUAGGUUUUUGUCGAGUGAAUUUCUUUACUUGAAAGGCUCCGAGUGACGGUGCGGAGGAGACCUUUGGUCUGACAAGUUGUUUCGCUGCCCGCAGAUUUCGUGGGAUCCAAAUUUUUGGAAGCGCGCGGGACGGGGGAGGCCAUAGUAAUCGGAUGGGAUAGAGCGGAGCCGCCUCGAUCCCCACGCCACCUUUUUCACCAUGUAUCGCGCGCGCGAUUGUUACGGGAUUUGACAGAACCGCCCGGGCCUGCCAGUCAGCCACUCGGAAGCGGCCUCAUAUAAGGCGUUGGACUGGGGUCCCCCGAACAGUGCGUCCCCAUUAUCUCUUCUCCUCUUCACGCUCCUCUGCUGCGCUCACUCUCGCCCUCACGCCAUCGUUCCAUACGCGUCUCGCCGGCGACGAUGGGGAAGGAGAAGACGACGGCUCUGGAGCGGGCAAAGAAGGCGACGACGAGGUCGAAGGGGAAGGCGACCAGUCGGGGCGGAUCCUCCUCGCGAACCAGCCUGCCGAAGGGCUGGAUCCAGGGCGACUGGAUCCACUCGAGGCUCACCCAAGAAGACCUCGACGACCUGGCCGAGGGAGGGCUGAUCCCCUAUGACUCGGCGCAGCUUCCGGGGAAGGAAUCCGAGCCGCAACCCCGGGAGGGUGAGCGAGUUCUUCUUGCCACCCACGUCGACCGUGGAUUUUCCUUGCCUCCUCACCCUUUCUUUCGAGGAUUUCUGAACUUCUUAGGGGCACAACUCCACCAUUUUACUCCCAACACAAUCGUUUAUCUCGCCGCUUUCAUUUCUUUGUGUGAGAAUUUCCUGGGUUGCCGGCUUCACUGGGGUCUUUUCAAGCAUAUUUUCACUUGUUGCUCCCAGACAGUGAAAAAGGCUAAUCCGAGUGAUGAGAGGACCCAAGUGAUCCAGAUGUGUGGGGGUCUUGGUAUCUAGAUGAGAGGGAAAAGCUCCUUUCCGGCCAUGAUUCUUCCCGACUCAGUUCGCGGAUAACAGUCGACCUGGUUUUACUGUAAAGACCAGUCGAUGCCAGGGCAAUCGACUGGCCUCCCUCCCUUUACCAUGGACCGAGUGAGGAAACCAUCCCCUUUGAAGGUGCUCCCGGAGGAGAAAGCGUAGGUGAGGGUGCUGGUCGAGCGAGUGGUCCAGCUUAUCCGUGACGGGGUCACCGGUAUGGAUCUCUUGGAGGUCUUCCUCCAGCGGCGCAUCCAGCCUCUUCAAGCCCGAGACCAUCCGAUGUGGAUGUAUUCGGGUCUUGAAGACUCCACUCGGAUUCACCCGGAGGAGGUCGAUGACGACACACUGGAGAAGUGGCUGUCGGGCAUUACCGGAAACAAGGAUAACCCCAGGGGAGCCAGGAGAGUUCCCCCAUUCGACCAGUCUCAUGCACCAGAGAAGGUCUAAUUCUGAGUUUUUGCUUGUAAUCUGAAUUCACUCACGCAGCUGCCUAUACUUCGUCGACUGACUUUGUUCUCCCUGCUUUCUUUCAGGCCAUUAUUGAAAUGUAUUCAAUGCCCAACGGAGAGCAAGAGCAAGCUCUGG
rnacentral:lncRNA from 1 species